GAUGAACGCUAGCGGCAGGCUUAACACAUGCAAGUCGAGGGGUAAGUCAUUUCGGUGACUGAGACCGGCGCACGGGUGCGUAACGCGUAUGUAAUCUACCUUUUACAGGGGGAUAGCCCAGAGAAAUUUGGAUUAAUACCCCAUAGUAUUAUUGAAUGGCAUCAUUUAAUAAUUAAAGUUCCAACGGUAAAAGAUGAGCAUGCGUCCCAUUAGCUAGAUGGUAAGGUAACGGCUUACCAUGGCGACGAUGGGUAGGGGUCCUGGGAGGGAGAUCCCCCACACUGGUACUGAGACACGGACCAGACUCCUACGGGAGGCAGCAGUGAGGAAUAUUGGACAAUGGGCGCAAGCCUGAUCCAGCCAUGCCGCGUGUGUGAAGAAGGCCUUCGGGUUGUAAAGCACUUUCAGUAGGGAGGAAGCGUUGUGUGUUAAUAGUACACAGCGUUGACGUUACCUACAGAAGAAGCACCGGCUAACUCUGUGCCAGCCGCCGCGGUAAAAC
rnacentral:rRNA from 1 species